GAAUGGAAGAUUCUUUCUCUCUCUAGAUUUUAUUUUCUCUUCUUUGUUCCCCUCCACUCCUACUCUCGAUUUUGAUCGAUUCUCAUACUUAUAAUUGAAUCAUACCUCAAUUCAAAACCCUAGCUGCACUUGCUCUCGUUGCAUCAAAUUUUUACAGGUGGUGGCAAUGUCAACUCCUGCGAGAAAGAGAUUGAUGAGAGAUUUUAAGAGGUUGCAACAAGAUCCACCUGCAGGGAUAAGUGGAGCACCCCAAGACAACAACAUAAUGCUUUGGAAUGCUGUGAUUUUUGGCCCUGAUGACACUCCUUGGGAUGGAGGCACAUUCAAGUUGACUUUACAGUUUACUGAGGAUUAUCCAAACAAACCACCAACAGUGCGAUUUGUAUCUCGAAUGUUCCAUCCAAAUAUUUACGCAGAUGGAAGUAUCUGUUUGGAUAUUUUACAAAAUCAGUGGAGUCCUAUAUAUGAUGUGGCUG
rnacentral:misc_RNA from 1 species